rnacentral:tRNA from 1 species
GCUGAUGUAGCUCAGUUGGUAGAGCAAUUGAUUCGUAAUCAAUAGGUCAAGGGUUCGAGUCCCUUCAUCAGCUCCA